rnacentral:rRNA from 1 species
UUUCCUACGGGAGGCAGCAGUGGGGAAUAUUGCACAAUGGGGGGAACCCUGAUGCAGCGACGCCGCGUGGGUGAAGAAGUCAUUCGUGACGUAAAGCCCUAUCAGCAGGGAAGAAAAUGACGGUACCUGACUAAGAAGCCCCGGCUAACUACGUGCCAGCAGCCGCGGUAAUACGUAGGGGGCAAGCGUUAUCCGGAAUUACUGGGUGUAAAGGGAGCGCAGACGGCAGUGCAAGUCUGGAGUGAAAGCCCGUGGCUUAACCACGGGACUGCUCUGGAAACUGUGCAGCUAGAGUGCAGGAGAGG